rnacentral:rRNA from 1 species
UACGAAGGGUGCAAGCGUUACUCGGAAUUACUGGGCGUAAAGCGUGCGUAGGUGGUUUGUUAAGUCUGUUGUGAAAGCCCGGGCUCAACCUGGGAAUGGCAAUGGAUACUGGCAAGCUAGAGUGCGGUAGAGGGUAGUGGAAUUCCCGGUGUAGCGGUGAAAUGCGUAGAGAUCGGGAGGAACACCAGUGGCGAAGGCGGCGCUCUGGGCCGGAACUGACGCUGAGGUGCGAAAGCGUGGGGAGCAAACAGG